GUACACGCUGUGACUAGCAUAUCAAUAAGCGGAGGAAAAGAAACUAACAAGGGAUUCCCCUAGUAACGGCGAGUGAAGCGGGAAGAGCUCAAAUUUGAAAUCUUAAAGGGUUUCCCUUUACGAAUUGUAGUUUAAAGAAGUGUUUUCUGUUGAGGUUUUGGUAAAAGUUCUUUGGAAUAGGACAUCAUAGAGGGUGAGAAUCCCGUAUUUGACCUUUACUUUCAACUUUGUGAUACACUUUCAAAGAGUCGGAUUGUUUGGGAAUGCAGUCCAAAAUGGGUGGUAAAUUUCAUCUAAAGCUAAAUAUUGGCGAGAGACCGAUAGCGAACAAGUACCGUGAGGGAAAGAUGAAAAGAACUUUGAAAAGAGAGUUAAACAGUACUGUGAAAUUGUCAAAAGGGAAGCGUUUGACACCAGUGUUGUUUUUCUGAAAUAUCAAUUAAGGAACUGUUUAUGCUAAGUUGUUUAGACUUUAUCAGCUAACUGUCUAGUUUUGAGCUUUUCUUUAAUGCACUUUUCAGUUAACAAGUCAACAUCAAUUUCUUUUGCUGUAAAAAAGCUUGAGGAAGGUGGCUUGAGAUUCGUCUUAAGUGUUUAUAGCCUCUUGCCUAUGCAGUUGGAGAGAUUGAGGUCUGCAGCGUAGAUCCUUCGGGGCUAAAUGCAUUUGUGCUAAGUUAUAGCAUUUUAUAGACAACUUGUUGACUAUGAUUUGUCUUGUAGCUUACUCGCUUAUGUUAUUUUACCUACGCUUAGGAUGUUGAGUCGUAGAGCACGCAG
rnacentral:rRNA from 1 species